rnacentral:rRNA from 1 species
GAUCAUGGCUCAGGACGAACGCUGGCGGCGUGCUUAACACAUGCAAGUUGAACGGGACGGAUAUUGAAGCGACUUUCGGAGUGGUGGAUAUAUUGUUUAGUAGCGGACGGGUGAGUAAUGCAUGAGAACCUGCCCUUCAGAGGGGGACAACAGUUGGAAACGGCUGCUAAUACCCCCAUAUGCCGAGAGGUGAAAGGAGCGAUCCGCUGAAGGAGAGGCUCAUGUCCUAUCAGCUAGUUGGUGAGGUAAGUGCUCACCAAGGCGAUGACGGGUAGCCGGCCUGAGAGGGCGACCGGCCACACUGGAACUGAGAUACGGUCCAGACUCCUACGGGAGGCAGCAGUGGGGAAUAUUGGGCAAUGGGCGGAAAGCCUGACCCAGCGACGCCGCGUGAGGGAAGAAGGCCUUUGGGUCGUAAACCUCUGUUGUAUGGGAAGAAGGAAGUGACGGUACCAUACGAGGAAGUCCCGGCUAACUACGUGCCAGCCGCCGC